GAUUAUGGCUCAGGAUGAACGCUAGCUACAGGCUUAACACAUGCAAGUCGAGGGGCAGCAGGGCAAUAGCUUGCUAUGUUGCUGGCGACCGGCGCACGGGUGAGUAACGCGUAUCCAACCUACCCCGCGGUCAGGGACAGCCCGGCGAAAGUCGGAUUAAUACCUGAUGCAGUCAGAAGAGGGCAUCUGAUUUUGACGAAAGAUUCAUCGCCUCGGGAUGGGGAUGCGUAGGAUUAGGCAGGCGGCGGGGUAACGGCCCACCGCGCCGACGAUCCUUAGGGGUUCUGAGAGGAAGGUCCCCCACACUGGUACUGAGACACGGACCAGACUCCUACGGGAGGCAGCAGUGAGGAAUAUUGGUCAAUGGGCGCGAGCCUGAACCAGCCAAGUAGCGUGCAGGACGACGGCCCUAUGGGUUGUAAACUGCUUUUAUGCGGGGAUAAAGUGCGGCACGUGUGCCGUUUUGUAGGUACCGCAUGAAUAAGGACCGGCUAAUUCCGUGCCAGCCGCCGC
rnacentral:rRNA from 1 species